GCGCGCGUUGUCCCCUGCGGUGCUGGCGCGCGGGUGAAUGCGGCUCCACAGACCAGCGCGGGUCGGGCGGGAGGCCCGUGGACCCGGAGCCGCCGCAGCCGCAGCCUCAAGGUCAGCCGCCUGCGUGGGACCUGCUGAGGCCAGGGCCUGUGGUUCUUGGAGAUGUCUUUGUGCUCCAGAGGCUGCUCUGUUUAUCCUGCCCCUGGCUGUGGGUACCAUUCAAGGUAAGGCAUGUGCUUGCUCUCU
rnacentral:lncRNA from 1 species